rfam:Geomicrobium sp. JCM 19038 DNA, contig: JCM19038.contig00014.
UUUUAGCACUUGCAGGCGUUAAAGAACAAGGCUGGUCGUAGACGUAACUACGUAAAAAAUCGUA